rnacentral:rRNA from 1 species
GAGGCUCAGGCUGCGAUGGUUAGCUGGUCUGAGAGGAUGAUCAGCCACACUGGAACUGAAACACGGUCCAGACUCCUACGGGAGGCAGCAGUGAGGAGUUUUGCGCAAUGGGGGAAACCCUGACGCAGCAACGCCGCGUGAGCGAAGAAGGCCUUCGGGUCGUAAAGCUCUGUCAAGUGGGAAAAACGUGUCCCGGUCAAUAGCCGGGAGAUCUGAUGGUACCACUGGAGGAAGCACCGGCUAACUCCGUGCCAGCAGCCGCGGUAAUACGGAGGGUGCAAGCGUUGUUCGGAAUUAUUGGGCGUAAAGAGCGUGUAGGCGGUUUAGUAAGUCAGAUGUGAAAGCCCUGGGCUCAACCCGGGAAGUGCAUUUGAAACUGCUUUACUUGAGUAUGGGAGAGGAGAGUGGAAUUCCUGGUGUAGAGGUGAAAUUCGUAGAUAUCAGGAGGAACAUCUGUGGCGAAGGCGACUCUCUGGACCAAUACUGACGCUGAGACGCGAAAGCGUGGGUAGCAAACAGGAUUAGAUACCCUGGUAGUCCACGCCGUAAACGAUGGACGCUAGAUGCCGGGG